rnacentral:rRNA from 1 species
UACGUAGGGGGCAAGCGUUGUCCGGAAUCAUUGGGCGUAAAGCGCGUGUAGGCGGCCCGAUAAGUCCGCUGUGAAAGUCCAGGGCUCAACCCUGGGAUGCCGGUGGAUACUGUCGGGCUCGAGUCCGGAAGAGGCGAGUGGAAUUCCUGGUGUAGCAGUGAAAUGCGCAGAUAUCAGGAGGAACACCAAUGGCGAAGGCAGCUCGCUGGGACGUGACUGACGCUGAGACGCGAAAGCGUGGGGAGCAAACAGG